AUUAGUGUUGAAUUGUUUUACUUUUAAAAAAUCCAUCGCCGCCGUCGUCCUCACACUGCCAUCAUCCUUGCAUUUUGAAGCUCCAACCUAAAGAUGCCGCCGAACACAUCUUCGUCAAAGGGACUUGGUUCCACUCCCAUUUCGACCUCUUAAUAAUAAUUGAUGGCCUUCACACUUGGAUCUGCCAAGGUAUACGUCAUGGGGUGGAAGAUUACCUCAUAGACCUGUUAAGGUUCUAGCAUUUGCAGUUUCACUCUUUUUCCAGCAUGGAAGGAGCUUUUAAAAUUACUAUAUGGUCUACUUAGUGAGCCUAAAUGGGGCAUCUGAAAGAUCUACAUGCUUCUAUAAAGCUUUGUGAACCUACACUAGUUGCAGUUGAUUCACUCUAGUAUAUUAAAUUGGGACCAAAGUAGGAGGUUUGUACUAACCAUCGUCUAUCCUUGUUCUUGCUUAAUUAUUUAGUACAUGGUAUCUACUUAUCUAGUUCUCUGUCUUUGAUAAUUGAUAUAUAAAAUGAAAUAUGUAUUUUCUUCAUAUGUGUGAUGAGUCAUUGUCAUCUGCAAACUCUGAUGUCCUAGCAUGAAUUUUUCACAUUUUUAAACAUGAUUUGAUCUAGAAAUUUUUUAGAGGAGUUAAAUAUAGAUUGUUCCAUUUGACCAUAAA